UUAACGAUUUAGGAGCUACUAAGACAGCACAGGUUAGGUCUGAGUAGGGGGGUCUCUAGCGGGUACGCCUAGGCCGGGGCCUAGGGCCGUGAGGACGACCCGCUAAAGCAACAUGGUAGGUACACAAGGGUGGCGGUCUGCCCGUGAGGGCACAACUCGGUAAUGAUCCUUCCGCAGGUUCACCUACGGAAA
rnacentral:misc_RNA from 1 species